GACGAACGCUGGCGGCGUGCUUAACACAUGCCAGUCGAACGGAAAGGCCCUGCUUUUGUGGGGUGCUCGAGUGGCGAACGGGUGAGUAACACGUGAGUAACCUGCCCUUGACUUUGGGAUAACUUCAGGAAACUGGGGCUAAUACCGGAUAGGAGCUCCUGCUGCAUGGUGGGGGUUGGAAAGUUUCGGCGGGUGGGGAUGGACUCGCGGCUUAUCAGCUUGUUGGUGGGGGAGUGGCUUACCAAGGCUUUGACGGGUAGCCGGCCUGGGAGGGUGACCGGCCACAUUGGGACUGAGAUACGGCCCAGACUCCUACGGGAGGCAGCAGUGGGGAAUAUUGCACAAUGGGCGGAAGCCUGAUGCAGCAACGCCGCGUGCGGGAUGACGGCCUUCGGGUUGUAAACCGCUUUCGCCUGUGACGAAGCGUGAGUGACGGUAAUGGGUAAAGAAGCACCGGCUAACUACGUG
rnacentral:rRNA from 1 species